UGGGGAAUUUUGGACAAUGGGGGCAACCCUGAUCCAGCCAUCCCGCGUGUGCGAUGAAGGCCUUCGGGUUGUAAAGCACUUUUGGCAGGGAAGAAACAGCCUGGGAUAAUACCCCGGGCGACUGACGGUACCUGCAGAAUAAGCACCGGCUAACUACGUGCCAGCAGCCGCGGUAAUACGUAGGGUGCAAGCGUUAAUCGGAAUUACUGGGCGUAAAGCGUGCGCAGGCGGUUCGGAAAGAAAGGUGUGAAAUCCCAGGGCUUAACCUUGGAACUGCACUUUUAACUACCGAGCUAGAGUACGUCAGAGGGGGGUAGAAUUCCACGUAUAGCAGUGAAAUGCGUAGAGAUGUGGAGGAAUACCGAUGGCGAAGGCAGCCCCCUGGGAUGAUACUGACGCUCAUGCACGAAAGCGUGGGGAGCAAACAGGAUUAGAUACCCUGGUAGUCCACGCCCUAAACGAUGUCAACUAGCUGUUGGGGUUUAUUAACCUUAGUAGCGCAGCUAACGCGUGAAGUUGACCGCCUGGGGAGUACGGUCGCAAGAUUAAAAC
rnacentral:rRNA from 1 species